rnacentral:lncRNA from 12 species
GCAUUAAUCUUAUUCUGGUUAUUUUUGUACAUAUAGAACAAAAGUCUCCCUUUUUAUAUUUAAUCUUCACAUAUUUGAAGUUAGCUGCUACAGCCCCUAAGCUUUUUAUUUUCUUAAUCUUAUGUCAGAUGUUCUUUAUAUGAGAUGGAUCACCAUUUUUAUUGUUCUCCUUUGGACACAGUCAUUUGUCACGGUCACUCCUUAGGAUAUAGUGCAGCAUAUAUGAAUCUUCUUGUAUUGGGAUUCCACAAGAUGUUGCAUGAUGUUACUUGUCAUCAUGUUUGGAGUAAUUGUGCCUUAGAGAAGCUGACAUGGAGACAUGGAGAGAUUAUGGCUUCUUUUUGGGGAUCAAAGGAAAAUGAGAAGAAGAACUCAGCUAUACACCUGGAUCAACUCUUGAUUCAUCACACGUUUAUCAUACUGUUUUAA